rnacentral:rRNA from 1 species
AUGGAUCACGGCCUUAAGAUCGCUAUCUGGAAUGUGCGCGGCAUGAACGCACGGGCUCGGCGACAUGCUAUCCGGUCGCUGCUGGACACCACCGGGGCCUCCAUUGUUUGCAUUCAAGAAACGAAAAUGGAGUUGAUCUACUCGGCUAUUGUCCUUGAUGCGCUUGGUUCCGAGUUCGAUGACUACACGUACCUCCCAGCCGAUGGCACGUGGGGCGGCAUCUUGCUGGCGUGGAAGAGCAGGGCCGUGACCAUCACGGACCCAAUGUUCACCACUAAUGCGAUCACUACUAAGGUGACCACGGUCACUGGCCCUCCUUGGUGGCUAACGGUGGUAUACGGACCCCAGGAAGAUGCAGACAAGGUUGCAUUCCUGCAGGAGCUUCGCGACAUCCGAGCCGCCUGCCCAGGCCCGUGGAUGGUUUGCGGCGACUUCAAUCUUAUCCUCCGCGACGAUGACAAAAACACGGGCACCGUCAACCGGCGCAUGAUGGGCAAAUUCCGCCGUCUCACAAAUGACCUCGCGCUCAAGGAGAUCUACCUCAACGGGCGGCGCUACACACGGUCCAACGAGCAAACACCGCUGACGCUUGUGCAGCUCGACCGUGUUCUUUGCACCGCUGAUUGGGAGGACACGCACAGCGGAUGCCACCUUCGAUGUAUUGCGGCUGUGGUGUCGGACCACGCCCCGUUGCUGCUGGAUUGCUCGCCCACGCCCACCUCACAUCGGAGGUUCCAUUUUGAGGAAUACUGGCUACGCUUGGACGGAUUCCAUGACGUGGUGACCGCAGCCUGGGGCUCUACACAUCACGUCGAUCCCUUCCACCGGCUCAUGCUCCGGCUACAGGCAACGGCGGCUAGCCUCACUAGCUGGAGUUCCAGGUCUACGGGCAACAUCAAGGCCAAGCUGGCGAUAUCACGGGAGCUCAUCUCGCGCUUCGACCAAGCCCAGGAAUCGCGCAACCUCUCGCCACCAGAGGCCUGGCUCCGCAAGCAGCUCAAGAUAUCCUACCUUGGGCUCGCUUCCAUGGAGCGCACGAUCGCCCGGCAACGCUCUCGCAUCGCCAACCUCAAGGACGGCGACGCCAGCACCAGUUUCUUCCACCGGCAAUGCUCAUUCCGUCGGCAGAAGAACCACAUCUACAGCCUGGCCGUGGAAGACAGGGUGCUCACGGACCACUCUGACAUGGCCGAGGCAGCCUUCGCCCAUUUCGAGGCCUUGCUGGGCACGGCGACCGCCCGGGAGCACUCGCUGGACCUGUCCCAGCUCAUUGAGCCGACCGACCUCGCCGACCUUGAUGCACCGUUCAGCACCGAGGAGAUUUGGGAGGCUGUCAAGCGCCUCCCCGCCCGUAAGGCGCCAGGCCCAGAUGGGUUCACAGCAGAAUUCCUACACGCAUGCUGGACUACCAUCAGGCAGGAUUUCCUUGACGUGUUCCAGCAACUUUAUGACAUGCGAGGAAGGGGGUUCUACAAGCUGAACCAAGCAUUGCUGACGCUGCUGCCAAAGAAAGCCGACACCCAUGGGCUGCGCGACUACCGGCCGAUCUGCCUAAUUCACCUUGUGGCCAAAAUCUUCGCCAAGGUGCUCUCGAUCCGCCUCGGUGCCAAGCUGGACAACCUAGUUAGCCGCAACCAAAAUGCUUCCAUCUCGGGAAGGAGCUUGCACGACAACUACGUCCUCGUCAAGCAGUCACUCAAGCUGCUGCACCAAUUGGGAGCUCCGAGAGUCAUGCUCAAGCUCGACCUCACGCGCGCCUUUGAUUCCCUGUCAUGGCCAUUCCUCUUUGAGGUUCUAUGCCAGUAUGGAUUCGGGAACAGAUUCUUGGAGUGGACGGCCAUCCUCCUGUCUUCUGCGAGCACACGCAUCCUCCUGAACGGCGAGCCCGGCCCACCCAUAUGGCACCGGCAAGGGCUCCGGCAGGGCGACUCCAUGUCCCCGCAGCUCUUCGUGCUCGCGGUCGACACCCUGGGAUGGCUCCUACGACGCGCUCACUGCCUGGGCAUCCUGCAGCCACUACACCCACGGCGCCACAUCCCGGCGAUCUCCCUCUACGCCGACGACGUCAUGGUCUUCUGCCACGCCACGGCGGAUGAUACCACUGCGAUCAGGGAGAUCCUCGCCUUGUUCGGCAGGGCCUCCGGCCUGAAGGUGAACUUCACCAAGAGCUUCGCCACCAUCCUGCACGGCGACCAAGCAGCCACGGAGAUGAUCGCGCACCUCGGCUGCCCGGUGGCGACUCUCCCCAUCACCUACCUCGGCAUCCUCAUGUCCACGCGCCGCCCAUCUGUCGCCCAGCUACAACCCAUGGUUGAUGCGGUUGCAGCGCGCCUACCGACCUGGAAGGCCUGGCUGAUGACUAAAACCGAGCGCCUCGCGCUAGUUAAGUCGGUCUUGAGUGCCAUCCCAGUGCACCAACUGCUUGCGUUCGCGCCCCCCAAAAAAACUCUCAAGCAGAUCGAGAAGAUUCAGCGUGGUUUUCUUUGGGCUGGACGCGCCGCUGCCAAUGGCGGACACUGCCACGUGAACUGGAACAGAGUUUGCCGCCCCAUCGAGCUUGGGGGCCUGGGAGUGCGAGACCUCGAGCGCGCCAGUCUCGCCCUGCGACUACGCUGGUUAUGGUUCUCCAGAACGGACCUGGGGCGAGCAUGGCAGGGGUUGGACCUUCAAUUCUCGCCCACGGAACGUGCCCUGUUCUGGGCAUCCACGCUCACGCUCAUUGGGAAUGGGCAGACCGCCCUGCUCUGGGAGGACCGAUGGAUAGGUGGCCAAUCUGUGCGCGAGCUCAUGCCUAACCUCUACGGCUGCAUCCCCAAGCAACGACGGAAGACGAGAACCAUGUCGGACGGACUCAAUGGCAACUCUUGGGCACACGACAUCCAAGGCAACCUCGGCCUCCACGAGAUUGGUCAGUAUCUGCAGCUCUGGCAGAUCAUGCAGCGCACUGAGCUCUCCACCACACCGGACAGGUUGAUCUGGAGAUGGACGGCGAGUGGCACCUACUCCGCGCAGUCCUGCUACACGGCCACCUUCCAUGGAUCAAUGAGCUGUCAUUCCUGGAAGCUAAUCUGGAAGUGUUGGGCGCCGCCGCGGGUCAAGUUUUUCCACUGGUUAGCCAACCAGGACCGCUGCUGGACGGCAGAGAGGCUGGCGCGCCACGGUCUCCAGUAUCAUCCCCGCUGCCUCCUAUGUGACCAGCAACCGGAGACGAUGCGACAUCUGCUGCUAGAAUGCCCCCUAGCCCGACAGGCAUGGCACGAGACCCUGGCCUGGCUACGCAUACCGGCCCCGAUCCCAACACAGGAACUGUCGCUUACGGAUUGGUGGAACCAUGCCAAGGAAGACACGCCGCCGAUCCUUCGCAAGGCCCUGAAAUCUGUCACGCUGCUCGUGCCUUGGAUGGUCUGGAAACACAGGAACAGCUGCGUCUUCGACAACACGGCUCCAUCCCUUAACACGCUCCUAGAUAGCAUUCAGGACGAGGCCCGCUCAUGGGCGGCAGCUGGGGCACCUGGUCUCCGACUUGUGCUGCCCCAAACCUGGGAUGUGCAUUAA